rnacentral:rRNA from 1 species
GGCCAGACUCCUACGGGAGGCAGCAGUGGGGAAUAUUGCACAAUGGGGGAAACCCUGAUGCAGCGACGCCGCGUGAGUGAAGAAGUAUUUCGGUAUGUAAAGCUCUAUCAGCAGGAAAGAAAAUGACGGUACCUGACUAAGAAGCCCCGGCUAGCUACGUGCCAGCAGCCGCGGUAAUACGUAGGGGGCAAGCGUUAUCCGGAUUUACUGGGUGUAAAGGGAGCGUAGACGGUGAAGCAAGUCUGAAGUGAAAGGCGGGGGCUCAACCCCCGGACUGCUUUGGAAACUGUUUGACUGGAGUGCAGGAGAGGUAAGUGGAAUUCCUAGUGUAGCGGUGAAAUGCGUAGAUAUUAGGAGGAACACCAGUGGCGAAGGCGGCUUACUGGACUGUAACUGACGUUGAGGCUCGAAAGCGUGGGGAGCAAACAGGAUUAGAUACCCUGGUA